rnacentral:lncRNA from 1 species
UCCCUGUCUUUGAGCACUAAUUAUAACCUUCCAAGACACAAUCAACAGAAAAUAAUAUGGCUGCCAUAGCAAGACAUUUUGCAGUGAAAAAUCAAGAAAAUUUAAAUUCUUUGGAAUGGUAACAGGGGCUUUCUUUUUGGUUUCCUAGGAAACAAAGUGGCCUAGACUCCUCCUGUGCCAAGAAGCAACUGCGACAUCAGGCUGUUCCCUUGGAACUAGUGACAUGGAGUUCAUCAGAAGAUGGAAGUCAGGACCCUUGCCAAGUUUCUUAUUUGAACAAUUGCUUUCACCAUGAAUGAAGACAAGAGUGAGUAUAUUACAAUUUUUCAUUAAAAAUUUCUAAAGCUUGUCUUCAGAAAAAUCAACAUAUUUCACUUUGUGUUGAG